rnacentral:tRNA from 1 species
AAAAUCCGUCGACUNUUAAAAUCGUGAGGGUNCAAGUCCCUCUAUCCC